rnacentral:rRNA from 1 species
UACGGAGGGAGCUAGCGUUGUUCGGAAUUACUGGGCGUAAAGCGCACGUAGGCGGCGAUUCAAGUCAGAGGUGAAAGCCCGGGGCUCAACCCCGGAACUGCCUUUGAAACUAGAUUGCUAGAAUCCUGGAGAGGUUAGUGGAAUUCCGAGUGUAGAGGUGAAAUUCGUAGAUAUUCGGAAGAACACCAGUGGCGAAGGCGACUAACUGGACAGGUAUUGACGCUGAGGUGCGAAAGCUAGGGGAGCGAACGGG